AAGUGAAACUGUUGACGAGAGACAGUUUGUUUGAAUCCAAUUUUUGUGAGAAAAUGGUUCAUCCUGACACCUGAGAUGACAUGUUAGUUGUUGUAGUGAGCCAGGCUAAUGGCAAAUGCAUUAUAUUGAUGAAAGAAAACCCUCUCUCUGUGUUCAUAACAACCAAUAUUGUAAUCAAUUAUCUGAAUAAAUCUGUACCAAAAGGGAAGGUUAUGUAAAUAAACAAGUCGACCUACCUAAUUUGUAGUUGCUAAAUCGCUAAUGAAAAUCAGUUUUUCUUAAAUGAAUGGUCAUCCAUUUCAAAUGGUUGAAUUGAUAGACCUCUUUGCAUGAAGGUGCACACAGGGGCACUCAAAGAGAAGACUGGAAUGUUUACCGCCUUGUUUUAUACAAUAUAUGAAACUGUACAAUAACUUAGGUCCUGCAUGGAUACAGAGUCAUUUUCUACCCCAAACCUUUUUUGAAUUAUAUGAUAUAAGUGAUUAGUGGGUUUUGUGAAAACCGGGGGGGGGAUAAGGCUCAGUAGUAACGUGCAGAGAGAGACUGAAGUUUUCUUUUUAAAGUCUGUGUUGUGCUUUGUCAUCUCCAAUGGCAACGCCUUGCAUCACAAUGAUGAUGUCAUAAAGGAUAUUGUGCACAUAAUGAUAGGAAAGGCAACCAUUUGAUUCAUUUGAACUUGGUCGAGUUUCCAGUAGCCAACUUUUUACUAGUAAUUCAGAUAUGCCUAUUGCGUAAUCAUCUCUGGAUCAGGAUUGUCACUUGCUUCAUUGUAAGUAAAUGGGAAGAAAAUGUGUGCACAUUGUAAAGAGAUGCAUUAUUCUUUGGUGAGCAACACGCCACUUACUACAACGUUAUGUAUUUUUCAGAGUUAUUGUUAGCUAGGAGGAAGACAUGGAGGGUUCAACGCUGACACAGAGGAGGGCUGAGUGUCAGUUGAAGGAAAGGGAGAUCCAGACAGAAUACAUGAUGGAGCUGGGAGCCAGGUUGGCUCUGGUGAGACAGAUCCAGAGGGAGCAGGAGAAGGAGAUGAAGAGGAUUUGGUUUGAGACGAGGAAAAUGCCAAGCCUGAUUGAGGAGAAUGUGAGAGAUGUGACCAACCGUCCACUCACUGAGUUCAUGGCUCCCUGUAUUGACUCCCUCCCACCGCUGGCUUUCACCAAUCGGAGGCCUAUACCAACCAUGUUACAUCCCCCCUCUCCAUUGGCCAUACGCGCUCAGGAUGCACAGCGGUUCAUUGUAUUUUCAUACUUUGUCCCUGCUGAGUGCCCAGUUGCCACAGCAGAUGUAUCCACUGGUAAAAGAGAGGACUUAUUGACAGAUACGCAUCUUUCCUCAAUGCUGCAUCGACACCUGCCACACUUCUUUAAUGAUGACUCCAUUCCACCACAGCAGACAGUAGAGGGAACCACUGAGCUCUCAGUUGCUCCAGUGGCAAUAUCUAAUAUAAAGGAAGAGGACAGAUUCUAUCCUUUCUCACUCCCACCACUGGCUCAGCGGUUCGUUGGCAAUUCAUUCAUUGUCCCAGAAACCUCCCAGCCUGCUGUUUCAGCCACAGAGUGCCGAGUUGCCAAAGAGGCCACUGCAGACACAGCCACUGUCAAGAGAGAGAACCGAUGGGCAGCCAGAAGUCUUCCUUCAGUGCUGCCUCCAUGCCUGCCACCAGUCUUUGACGAUGACUUCAUGCCUCCAGAGCAGACAGUAGAGGAUGCCUAUGAGGUCUCAGGUGCUACAGAGAACACUUCAGGCACAGCUACUGUUGGUGGAGUGGACAGAUCAACAGCUAAAUGCCCUGUCCCAAUGCUGCCUCCAAGUCUGCCACCUGUCUUUGACAAUGACUACAAACUGCCAGAGGAGGCAGUAGAGGGAACCAACAAGUGUCCAGUCGCCAGUGAAUCUGCCGCUUCCGUGUCCGCUGUCCUCCAAGAGGAGUUUUCAGCUGAUAAGAGUCUUCCUGCACCCGCAGCACUGCCUCUAAGGCUGCCCUGCACCCACAGCAUUGACCACAAACAGCUGUGGGAGAAAGUUGAGGACAACACAGAGUUCUCAGUAGACAAAGAAGCAACUGUUGCCAUUUACACUUGGGAAGAUAAAAGUCCUUCAGUUCUGCCAUGCAUCCACAACAACAACGACCACCAUCUGCCAGAGGAGACAGUUGAGGACAACACAGAGUGCUCAGUUGACACCGAGGCAAGUGCAGUUGCAUCCACUGUCAAGAGAGAGGAACUGACAGGUGAUAAAAGCCCUGUCCGAACAAUUCCUCCAAUCCUGGGAUGCAUCCAUGACAAGGACCACAAGGAGCCAGAGCAGAAAGUGAAGGGCCCUAGUGAAGAGGUGGAUCUCUGCCCUCACGCUCACCAGCUGGACCCAGAUGUUAACUUAACUCUGGCAACCCGCAAUGAUGAACCCAGGACCUGGACCCUGGAAGAGGCAAAGGUAGGUGUCCUAUUUUACACUAAUACUUUAACAGGUAUGGGGGUCAGUUCCAUUUCAAUUCAAAGCAUUGAAGAGAAUUGGAAUUUUAGAGUUCUUCUUGAAUUGACUGGAAUUGACCCCAACCUUGCUGCUCUUUGCUCAUAGUAUGAAACAUCACCCCUCACUUGAGUUAACAUUUGUAAAACAAGGGACCUUAAUUACUGUCCUCCAAAUUGUGUGCCCCAUGAGGUCAUCAUUGUAUGUCGAUCACUCAAAUGUGUAUUGAACGUGACACAUUGGAACAAUAUUACAUCUAGAGUCAAUGUCUUCCUGUCAGGAUUAUUGGAUAGGCAUUGAAAUUGAGAGUGAAGAGAGAAGCGUCAAGGAGGAGGUGAGACAGAGGGAGGGAUUGAAGCGUGAGGCGGACUGUGCCCAUUCCAAGAGCUCCAAUGGGAUGGCUUCAUCAGAGAGAGCAGAGACCAUCCUUGGAAGAGUGGGCUUUCUGGUCAUGAACCACAUGCAGAAAAUCCCAUUUUUGAAGAUGAAGGAAAAAGAGAAAAAUAAGAAACUGCAUAAGAAGUUGAAAGAUGAUGAGAAAGAGAGAAAGGAGAAGAAAAACAAGGAGGAGGAGAACAAAAAGAGGGAGAAGAAAGAGAUGAAUGAGAGAGAGAAAGAGCAGAAGAAAUUCAUGAAGGCUGAGAAAAAGAGGGAGAAGUUAGAACAGAAAAAGAGAGAGAAGGAAAGAAAAGAGAAGGAAAAGGCAGAGAAAAAGAGGUUAGAGGGGCUGAUGACGAUACAUAAUGACAUGAUGAAAGACAGGAUUAAGAAAGAGAAGCGGUGUUCUGAGGAGCUGAAAAAGAGAGAGAAAGCUCAAGCUGAGUUCUUGGAGAUGGAGAGAAAGAUUCAAGAAAAGGAGGAGAAGAAGAGAGAAAAGAGGAGGAAAGAGGAGAGGAAGAGACUAGAGAAGAAGAAAAAGAGUGAGCCAGCUGGAGGUGGAACUGAGAGGGUGAUAGAAUAGCAGGGAAAGGAUGAACGCUUGAAGAUGGAUGAGUAGAUUGGGUAUUAGAGAGAGAGAGCAGGGCGGGAUACUGUAUUUUUGCAUGCAAUGAAAAAUGCAAUAAAAAAAUCAAUAAAAAAGGUUUACUCUCUGUUUGAUUUUUGUCAAGGCAUACUGUAUAACACAGUAUAAACACACAAUGUAUACAUUUCACAAAUCUGGGGAGUGUUGCACUGUUAAAAUGUUGAAUUCCAAAUCUACCCGAUGGAGCGGAGCUAUUCUGAGAUGAGGAGGACGGAAAGGGAGGGGGAGUAGAUGGAGGGUAGAGAUGAGUUUGUUAGAGAGGAAAUUGAUAGAGAUGAAUAUGACACAGAGGAAUAUGAUAGAGAGGAAUAUGAUAGAGUGUAAUACGAUAGAGAGGAAUAUGAUAGAGAGGAAUAUGAUAGAGAGGAAUAUGAUAGAGGGGAAUAUGAUGAAGGGAAGAUGAUAGAGAGGAAUAUGAUAGAGUGGAAAACGAUAGAGAGGAAUAUGAUAGAGUGGAAUACGAUUGAGAGGAAUAUGAUAAAGAGGAAUAUGAUAGAGAGGAAUAUGAUAGAGAGGAAUAUGAUAGAGUGGAAUAUGAUAGAGUGGAAUACGAUAGAGAGGAAUAUGAUAGAGAGGAAUAUGAUAUAGAGGAAUAUGAUACAGAUGAAUAUACUAGAGAUACUAGAGAGGAAAUGAUAUUUUAUUUAACUGAACAUUUAUUUAACUAGGCAAGUCAGUUA
ensembl:lncRNA